ACGACCGUACCGCAAACCGACACUGGUGCGCGAGAUGAGUAUUCUAAGGCGCUUGAGAGAACUCAGGAGAAGGAACUCGGCAAAUUGACACCGUAACUUCGGAAGAAGGUGUGCCUUUAGUAGGUGAACCAUUUACUUGGGGAGCCCAAUGAGGCUGCAAAAAAUCGGUGGCUGCAACUGUUUAUUAAAAACACAGCACUCUGCUAAGACGAAAGUCGACGUAUAGGGUGUGACGCCUGCCCGGUGCUGGAAGAUUAAAUGAUGGGGUGCAAGCUCUUGAUUGAAGUCCCAGUAAACGGCGGCCGUAACGAUAACGGUCCUAAGGUAGCGAAAUUCCUUGUCGGGUAAGUUCCGACCUGCACGAAUGGCGUAAUGAUGGCCACACUGUCUCCUCCUGAGACUCAGCGAAGUUGAAAUGUUUGUGAUGAUGCAAUCUCCCCGCGGAAAGACGGAAAGACCCCAUGAACCUUUACUGUAGCUUUGUAUUGGACUUUGAACAGAUCUGUGUAGGAUAGGUGGGAGGCUUUGAAGUGUGGUCGCUAGAUCGCAUGGAGCCAACGUUGAAAUACCACCCUGGUGUGUUUGAGGUUCUAACCUAGGUCCAUUAUCUGGAUCGGGGACAGUGCAUGGUAGGCAGUUUGACUGGGGCGGUCUCCUCCCAAAGUGUAACGGAGGAGUUCGAAGGUACGCUAGGUACGGUCGGACAUCGUGCUAAUAGUGCAAUGGCAUAAGCGUGCUUAACUGCGAGACUGACAAGUCGAGCAGAUGCGAAAGCAGGACAUAGUGAUCCGGUGGUUCUGUAUGGAAGGGCCAUCGCUCAACGGAUAAAAGGUACUCUGGGGAUAACAGGCUGAUACCGCCCAAGAGUUCAUAUCGACGGCGGUGUUUGGCACCUCGAUGUCGGCUCAUCUCAUCCUGGGGCUGUAGCCGGUCCCAAGGGUAUGGCUGUUCGCCAUUUAAAGAGGUACGUGAGCUGGGUUUAAAACGUCGUGAGACAGUUUGGUCCCUAUCUUCCGUGGGCGCUGCAGAUUUGAGGAAGCCUGCUCCUAGUACGAGAGGACCGGAGUGGACGAACCUCUGGUGUAUCGGUUGUCACGCCAGUGGCAUUGCCGAGUAGCUAAGUUCGGAAGAGAUAACCGCUGAAAGCAUCUAAGCGGGAAACUCGUUUCAAGAUUAGAUCUGCCGGGGCCUUGAGCCCCCUAAAGAGUCGUUCAAGACCAGGACGUUGAUAGGUCAGGUGUGGAAACAA
rnacentral:rRNA from 1 species